GUGGAGAGUGGAUGAGCAGGGGUUGCUAAUGCCUGAAUUAAUUAAUAAGCUCAGGAGUGAUGCCUCUGCAACUAAGCUUAGCUAACUAAAGUUUGUUUUUUCUUUUCUUCUAUGAUGUGCAACACACAAAUUUGGGCCACUUACGGAGAACUGGUUUUCCCUAGCAUAAUAUGGGAAGGAAACGAACUGGACAGCUGGGAAUUUAGCUAAAUGAGAGAAAAAUGUCUAGAAGAUGCCAGAAAAUAUGAAGAAGCCCUGGAGCCCUGACUUACCAGUUGAUAGUCACUCAUACAAUUCAGAUUUUACAUCCAUCCCAGACAGAGAAAAUGAGAAAGAUUUAGCACCUGAUGGCACUGAGGAAAAGAAGGAGAGAGAAAAGAAACACACCAAUUUCACUUUGUGCAAUGUUUGUAACAUUCAGCUGAACUCUGCAGCUCAGGCACAAAUCCACUAUAAUGGCAAAUCCCAUCAGAAGAGAUUAAAACAGCUCAGCAAUGGAAAUUUCAAAAGUGAUAAUGAUUCAGCAGAUUCCCAGAUGGGACUACAGAAUGUAACAGAGUGUUGGCUCUUCAGGGCAGAUCUUUCAACUGAAGCCUAUCAACCGAUCAGCUGAAUUGAACUGUUCAACUGUUCAGCAGUAUUUCAACUGAUGCAGUGCUUCCCCUUUCAAGUCCUCUGGUAAACAUCUGAUUUGUCCUAAAUCAUGAUUACCCUUCUCUCUGAAAUGCACCAGAGAGGUUCAGGCAACCUGUGAUAUCGUCUAAAUUGCUUUUCAUUCUGUCAAAACUAACGAUUUGAAUGAUAUCUUACCAAUCCUGUGCAAUACAGCCCACAACAAGGCCGUGUACUUUAUAAAAUCAGUGUGAUUAUUAGUUGUCCUGAGAUACUUCUGAAAAGCAUAUUAACUACCCAUCAUUUCACUGUCUUUGCUAGUAUGCCCUCUGGGUAUGGGAUAUACACAAUUCAGAGAAGGUUAAUUGGAGAAAUUCAAGCUCUGGGCUUUUUGUCAUUUUCUUCUUUAUAGCACAAACAUGCAAUGCUAUAUUGGCAGCCUUUCAAGUCCUCUGAAAAACUGAAAUACUUAUUUAUGGUGAUACCUGAUUUUUCAUUUGCAACCAAUUUCCUAAACCUGUAAGGCUUGUUUGAGCUUCAUAUAUACAUAUAAGGAGAAGAGAAAGACAGUUCAGUCCUGGAAAGUCUUUGAGGAAGAUAUGAAAAAUAACCUUGGCAAUGUUGCAAAUUCUAAAACUCUGACUAAGGAGAUAGAGAAAGGUAUUAGCUGUCCCAUACCAUUGCUCAGCAGACCUAAAAUAAACUGUCAUAUUAUCUGACCUAUAAGUGGUAU
rnacentral:lncRNA from 1 species